AGCCGGUCCUGCAGAGGCCUCCAGCUGCGCCUUUAGUGUGACCAAGUGUUGUGGGGGUCCCCAGGGGCCGGUCUGACCGGUCUGGCGUGCCCGAGCCGGUCGUGCAGAGGGAGCCAGCUGCGGCUUUAGUGUGACCGAGUGCUGUGCGGGCCCGCACGGGCCGUUCCGACCGGUCCGGCGACCGGGACCGGCUCCUUCAGCAUGCUCCAGCCGCAGCUGCGGAGGUGGCCGAGUCUGGUGGGGGCACGCAGGGGUUGGGUUGACCGGUCCAGCAAGCCUGAGCUGGUCCUGUACAGGCCUCCAGCCGCACCUGUAGUGAGACCGAGUCCUGUUGGGGCACGCAGGGGCCGGGCCGACCGGUCUGGCAAGCCCGAGCUGGUCCUGCAGAGGCCUCCAGCUGCGGCUUUAGUGUGACCAAGUGUUGUGGGGGUCCCCAGGGGCCGGUCUGACCGGUCUGGCGUGCCCGAGCCGGUCGUGCAGAGGGAGCCCGCUGCGGCUUUAGUGUGACCGAGUGCUGUGCGGGCCCGCACGGGCCGGUCUGAGCGGUCCGGCGACCAGGACCGGCUCCUUCAGCAUGCUCCAGCCGCAGCUGCGGAGGUGGCCGAGUCUGGUGGGGGCACGCAGGGGUUGGGUUGACCGGUCCAGCAAGCCUGAGCUGGUCCUGUACAGGCCUCCAGCCGCACCUGUAGUGAGACCGAGUCCUGUUGGGGCACGCAGGGGCCGGGCCGACCGGUCUGGCAAGCCCGAGCUGGUCCUGCAGAGGCCUCCAGCUGCGGCUUUAGUGUGACCAAGUGUUGUGGGGGUCCCCAGGGGCCGGUCUGACCGGUCUGGCGUGCCCGAGCCGGUCGUGCAGAGGGAGCCCGCUGCGGCUUUAGUGUGACCGAGUGCUGUGCGGGCCCGCACGGGCCGGUCUGAGCGGUCCGGCGACCAGGACCGGCUCCUUCAGCAUGCUCCAGCCGCAGCUGCGGAGGUGGCCGAGUCUGGUGGGGGCACGCAGGGGUUGGGUUGACCGGUCCAGCAAGCCUGAGCUGGUCCUGUACAGGCCUCCAG
ensembl:lncRNA